rnacentral:tRNA from 1 species
CGGGCCGUAGCUCAACGGUAGAGCAGGUGUUUUAGGAGCACUAGGUUGGGGGUUCGACUCCCCUCGGCCCGA